rnacentral:rRNA from 1 species
UACGUAGGGGGCAAGCGUUGUCCGGAAUUACUGGGCAUAAAGGGCGAGUAGGCGGUAGAUUAAGUCAGAUGUGAAAGUCCAGGGCUUAACCCUGGAAUUGCAUUUGAAACUGAUUUACUUGAGUGCAGGAGAGGAGAGCGGAAUUCCUAGUGUAGCGGUGAAAUGCGUAGAUAUUAGGAAGAACACCAGUGGCGAAGGCGGCUCUCUGGACUGUAACUGACGCUGAGGCGCGAAAGCGUGGGUAGCGAACAGGAUUAGAUACCCCCGUA